GUGAUCAAAGGAUGUGGUCACUAGGUCUAUGUGCUAUCACCUGGUGUUUUAAUCAAUCUCUUCUGCUCUUGGAUGUUGUGCUGUGGCCUCCACUGACCUGUGGCUUGUCUCAACUGGACUUUGAACAUCAUGCUCUAGCAUCUGCUGCUGGCAGCCAUGACCUCUGCGUCAGGCAUUAUGGUUGGUCAUCAAUAUCUGGCUCUCCUUUACAUCUGAGUUCCUGCACAACACCGUUUCCUUACUGUCAGAGCACUAUUUACUGUGAAGUUAAUGAAGCUUAAGCUUCAGGGCCUGUAUUAGUUUAUUGCUGCCUAACAAAUAACCACAAACAUAAUGGCUUAAAACACAGAUUUAUUAUCUCCCAGUUUCUGUGAGUCAGGAAUCCAGCAUGUUUUAGCCGGGUUCUCUCACAGACCAAAACCAAAGUGACAACUGUUGUCUUCUUAUGUGGAGUUUGGACUAGGGAAAGAUCUGCCUCCAAGUUCCCUCAAGUUGUUGGCAGAAUUUACUUCUUUCCUUGUAGUUCUAUGACUGAGUGGCAUGUUUGCUUUUUAACUGUCUGAUGAGGACCACUAUUAAACACUGGAGGGUUACUCUCAGAUCCUUGCCAAAGAGUCCUCUCUAUAGACGGCCCUCUCACACUUUAAAUCUGCCUUCUAGAAAGACCUAAUUCCUUUAAAGACAUCAGAGCUGGUGCAUUUCUACUUCUGCUGCAUGCUCGUAGCCAAAGCAGGUCACAAGGCCAGCAAAAAUCAGGGGAUGAGGAAAGAGAUUCUACUUCUUACCAGGAGAAACUGCAAAGUCAAUGCAAAGAGCAUGAACAUAGGUUGAAAAGGUCUAGUAAAGUGAAGCAAUUUAUGCAGUUCCUUUCCUUGUUAAACUGGCAUAGGAGGAAAGCAGCCAGACUAUUCAAUGAAAAGAUAAAGAUGAUGAAGACCUUUAUGAUAAUCCACUUCCACCUAACGAAUAGAUCCCAUCCAGGAUAGCAUAUUAUAUUUAAUUAUCAUAUCUCUUUAGGUUCCUCUUGGCUAUGACAGUUUUUCACACUUUUUUGUUUCAUGACCUUGACAGUUUUGAGAUGUACUGGCCAAGUAUUCU
rnacentral:lncRNA from 1 species